rnacentral:rRNA from 1 species
UACGAAGGGUGCAAGCGUUACUCGGAAUUACUGGGCGUAAAGCGUGCGUAGGUGGUUUGUUAAGUCUGAUGUGAAAGCCCUGGGCUCAACCUGGGAAUUGCAUUGGAUACUGGCAGGCUAGAGUGCGGUAGAGGAUGGCGGAAUUCCCGGUGUAGCAGUGAAAUGCGUAGAGAUCGGGAGGAACAUCUGUGGCGAAGGCGGCUCACUGGCCCGAUACUGACGCUGAGGCACGAAAGCGUGGGGAGCAAACAGGG